rnacentral:rRNA from 1 species
GUCCACGCCCUAAACGAUGUCAACUGGUUGUUGGGGAAGGCAACUUCCUUAGUAACGAAGCUAACGCGUGAAGUUGACCGCCUGGGGAGUACGGCCGCAAGGUUAAAACUCAAAGGAAUUGACGGGGACCCGCACAAGCGGUGGAUGAUGUGGAUUAAUUCGAUGCAACGCGAAGAACCUUACCUACCCUUGACAUGUACGGAAGCCCGCUGAGAGGUGGGUGUGCCCGAAAGGGAGCCGUAACACAGGUGCUGCAUGGCUGUCGU